ensembl:lncRNA
UUUUGACCCCUAGCCAUGAGCUGCCAACCAUGAUGCCUGGAGAAAUCCGGUGCAGAGAAGAACUAUAUUUACACAGUAUGAGCGUGCACGCAAUGAUGAAUCAACACAAACCCCACCCAACCUGCAUUGUGCUUGGUGUCUUUUCGCAUAUUCCUUUGCCAGAGCGUUUAUGUCUCAUGUUUGUUAGCAAGUAACGCAGGACAGCGAGUGGAUCUUCUGGCCUGAAUGGUUCGUGCUGAGGAUCCAAUGGAUGUCCUAUGUCCAGCUGGUGUCCCUCAGUAUAAAUAACUGGGCUCCAAGUUUCAUUCAGCCACUUCAUUGAGCUAGCCUAUAGCUGUGUUUAGUGAGCAGGGGGCUUCAGUCGCAUCUCCUUGUAUGGCUGUCGUGUGCACUCUUAAUGCUGCUUUACCACCAGAACAUGGGGUAACUUGGCAGACUGUAUGGAUCCCCUGCCUUUCUGUUACCAUGAUUACAACUAUUAAUGAAGCGUUUGAAAUUGAACCUGCCUCAUCUUAACUCUGCUCUUACAAAUUUUAAGUAUACUUCAAAGUUUAAUAAUGAACUUCUGUAGCCCUAAUAAGCUGGGCUGUGUCAUAUUUACAAAUGUCUAAAUCACUCAUACUGAGUAGUCCAGAUCUUCCCAUUCAAGUGGACGUUCUCAAAGUUGUGUGUGGUUGCACCUAUAUGCAUCAGUACAGUCAUACAUACUUCUUGGUUUGUUCUCACAAUACUGAGGAACAGAAUGAACUCUGAGCCAUGGAGCUGUUUUUCCAGUGCAAACAGAGUGGAAACACAGAUGAAAUCAUCUCUCACCUCUGGGUCGCCAGUGUGAUUCCUUCAGAAAACAGAGAGUUUUCAGUCAGACACUAGGAGCUUAAGAAACCCCAUGAUCUCAGCACAGCUGCUAAUGGAAAGCAAACCUAGCACUAACUCAUGUCACUUUUGGCAGCCACAGCAGAAAGGCCAAACUCUCACAUCAGCAUGGGGGCUGCAUGGCCCUCUUAGCCCAGAGGUGGCUGCACAGUGAGCAGUGCGUUAUCCUGGCAGGGUGGAGAUUGGAAAAACUUGUAAGGCAACCUUUUGGAUCAUCCCUGUCCCUGGCUUAUAAAGACGUCACUUCACAUCUCAGUUUGUAGGCUCCCAUUUAUAGGAAAGAAUAAUAAAUAUAGGAAAAAGUGGCCAAAAGAGCCACCUGCAACUUUGAUUGCACAUAUUAGAACAAAUCUAUUUCUGAAACAAGAGCCUGAACCUUCUGGAGAUAGAUCUGAAACUUAUUUGUUCUAUUCACUCUAUGUUCAGGGAGAAUUACUAGUGACUUAAGAAGGAACUGUGUCUCAGAAAGGGCUAAGGUCUUACAGGUCUUCAAAAUGUGGACCCUUCCACAGCUAAGUUUGCUUUCCGAUUU